rnacentral:lncRNA from 1 species
ACAGACCCUCAGAAGGGUCCUUGGACACAGGAACAACUGCCAACCCAACUACCUGGCAGAUGUCCUCUGUCCUUGUGUCCUGUGACAAUACCUCUCUGCUGUCUCACCAAUGCUCUACAGGUGUGGUGAUAAGAGGUGGGGACUUGUACCCUUGAGAGAGGCCUCAGGCUCGUUCUGCUCUGUGAGGACUCCAAGGAAGAGCACCUUUCUGAGGUUGAGUGCUGCCUUCACUAGGAUCCUCAUCAGCCAAUAUCUCCAUCUUGGACAUUUUUUUUUUAGCCUCCUCACCAGAAGCAUGGAGGUUCCCAGCCUUCAGGGCUGUGAGCAGUAAACCUGUAUUGUUUAUAAACUAC